UACAGAGGGUGCGAGCGUUAAUCGGAAUUACUGGGCGUAAAGGGUGCGUAGGUGGUUUGUUAAGUCUGCUGUGAAAUCCCCGGGCUCAACCUGGGAAUGGCAGUGGAUACUGGCAAGCUAGAGUGCGGUAGAGGGUAGUGGAAUUCCCGGUGUAGCAGUGAAAUGCGUAGAGAUCGGGAGGAACACCAGUGGCGAAGGCGGCUACCUGGACCAGCACUGACACUGAAGCACGAAAGCGUGGGGAGCAAACAGG
rnacentral:rRNA from 1 species